rnacentral:lncRNA from 1 species
GCCAUGGCGGGUGGAUGAAAGACCCGAGCUAACAUGGGGUUAGUUCGUUAAAUUACAAUAAAGCCUCGUGCAGUUUGCAGCAAGCUCUCGAAUCCGCCUGGUGAUUGGGGUGACCGCGAACCUGGCCUGAGACCCCGGAUACUUGAGUUUUCGGGGGUCUAACAUUUUGGGGGCUCGUCCUGGAUUUGCGACCAUCCUUCACCUGAGUGGAUUCGAUCUUGGAGCACAUGGCACGGGAAAGGAGUUCUGCCAUGUGUCACGGGUUAGAAUGUGUUAUGUUGGAGUCCCCCGAGGCUGCUUUUCUGAACUCGAACCACUGCUGCAGCCCUUACAGCUGAGCCUGGCCCAUGUAGGUGAGUCUUUCCCUAUCCCCACUUGCCGGUCCCAUGGGUCCCUGCCAUUUGCCUAGCUGCCCGGCAUUCUUUGUGCUCUACACACAUGGUAUGCAGGGGGGCCGCAGGAGUCUUUUUCCCACCCCUGUAUUGGCCUAGGGUCUGGGGUUACCAGCAGCACCCCUACCCCAGGUCUCUCUGCCUUGAGCCACAUGGAGCUAGAGCGUAUGAACUUAUCUGGCCUGAUCCGGACAUCUAAAUGGCCUUAAAGUUAUUAAGAACUAUAAAAGGGACUUUGACAAAAUUUUUAUGUUAACUAAAAAAUAAAAAAAAAUGUAAAAGACUUAAAUAAUAAAGAAAAAAAUUGUCUAAGAAUGUCUAAGAAAGUCAGAGAAAUAAAAUAAAAGUUAUAGAGGGUUAAAGCAAGUUGUUGGAGGUCAGAGAAAAAGAUUGUUACAGAAAGUUAUAGAGGGUUAAAGUAAGUUGUAGAAGGUCAGAGGAAA